rnacentral:rRNA from 1 species
UACGGAGGGAGCUAGCGUUGUUCGGAAUUACUGGGCGUAAAGCGCGCGUAGGCGGCUUUGUAAGUUAGAGGUGAAAUCCCCGGGCUCAACCCGGGAACUGCGUCCGAUACUGGCAGGCUUGAAUCCGGGAGAGGGAUGCGGAAUUCCAGGUGUAGCGGUGAAAUGCGUAGAUAUCUGGAGGAACACCGGUGGCGAAGGCGGCAUCCUGGACCGGCAUUGACGCUGAGGCGCGAAAGCCAGGGGAGCAAACGGG